GUUUGAUCCUGGCUCAGGACGAACGCUGGCGGCGUGCCUAACACAUGCAAGUCGAGCGAAGUGUUUAGAGAAGAUAUUUUCGGAUAGAAUCUCUAAACAUCUUAGCGGCGGACGGGUGAGUAACGCGUGAGAAACCUGCCUUUCACAAAGGGAUAGCCUCGGGAAACUGGGAUUAAUACCAUAUAAAGUUUCAUCUUAGCCUUAAGAAGAAACCAAAGCGUAAAGCGGUGAAAGAUGGUCUCGCGUCCCAUUAGCUAGUUGGUGAGAUAAAAGCCCACCAAGGCGACGAUGGGUAGCCGGCUAAGGAGGGUGAACGGCCACCACUGAAACCUGAGAACGGUCCAGAUCUACCGGGAGGCAGGCAGUGGGGAAUAUUGCACAAUGGAGGAAACUCUGAUGCAGCGACGCCGCGUGAGGCGACGAAGGCUUUCGAGUCGUAAAGCUCUGUCCUUGGGGACGAUAAUGACGGUACCCAAGGAGGAAGCCCCGGCUAACUACGUGCCAGCAGCCGCGGUAAUACGUAGGGGGCGAGCGUUGUCCGGAUUUAUUGGGCGUAAAGGGUUCGCAGGCGGCCUUUUAAGUCAGAUGUGAAAUCCCAUGGCUUAACCCAUGGUAAGCAUUUGAAACUGAAAGGCUUGAGUUAAGGAGAGGAAAGUGGAAUUCCUAGUGUAGCGGUGAAAUGCGUAGAUAUUAGGAGGAAUACCAGUGGCGAAGGCGACUUUCUGGACUUUAACUGACGCUGAGGAACGAAAGCGUGGGUAGCAAACAGGAUUAGAUACCCUGGUAGUCCACGCCGUAAGCGAUGAGUGCUAGGUGUUGGGGGUCAAACCUCGGUGCCGGAGCUAACGCAUUAAGCACUCCGCCUGGGGAGUACGUACGCAAGUAUGAAACUCAAAGGAAUUGACGGGGACCCGCACAAGCAGCGGAGCAUGUGGUUUAAUUCGAAGCAACGCGAAGAACCUUACCAGGGCUUGACAUGCCUCUGACCUAUCUAGAGAUAGAUAUUUACCUCGGGUACAGAGGACACAGGUGGUGCAUGGUGUCGUCAGCUCGUGUCGUGAGAUGUUGGGUUAAGUCCCGCAACGAGCGCAACCCUGUCUUUAGUUGCUAACAGGUGAUGCUGAGCACUCUAAGAGAGACUUGCCGAUGAUAAUCGGAGGAAGUGGGAUGACGUCAAAUCAUCAUGCGCCUUAUGUCUGGGCUACACACGUGCUACAAUGGUCGGUACAACGAGGAGCUACCUAGCGAUAGGAUGCAAAUCUCUAAAAGCCGAUCCCAGUUCGGAUUGCAGGCUGCAACUCGCCUGCAUGAAGUCGGAGUUGCUAGUAAUCGCGGAUCAGAAUGUCGCGGUGAAUGCGUUCCCGGGUCUUGUACACACCGCCCGUCACACCAUG
rnacentral:rRNA from 1 species